CUGGCCCAGGGCACUGGCGCAAGACCUGGACUCCCACCCAGCUGUUGCUGUGCUCGUGCCUGCCCGCUUGCUGCCACUGCCAUUUCCCCACUUUCCUGCCUGCCACCACUGCUUCUCCCUGCCUGCCUGCCCGCUGACCUCUCUGCUACCACGUGGUUCCCAGCUGCAUCUCCGGACUGCAGGACUCGUCAGGAGCUGGUCCAGCCCUGAGGACUGGGCAAUCGCCCGUGGUCCUCACCUGCCUCCCUCCCCUCCCCCCCACGUUCUUAGCUGAGUUUCCCUCUCGGGAAGAGGGAGGCGGGCAGCAGUCGCAGGUCCCAGGCCAGAAGCCUCUAUUAGGCUGCAGCUGCUGGGUCCUACUGCUGGCUCCCUCUGGGUCCUGCUGGUGGUGUCUUGUUAUCUCUGGCAGAUAGUUAGGAGCAGAUAAUAAUUAAUUUUCUAAUUUUUUUAGGGGCUCCACAGGCCAGAUAGAAUGGCCUGGCAGGCCAGAUUUGGCCCACAGGCCGCAUUUUGCUUUCCCCUGGUGUUAACUAUGAUACUGAGUGAGAGAGAUGGGAGGUAGGGAAUAGAUGGGUCUUGACAGUGACCAAAAAUAUUUUUUGUGCCACGGGGAAGGAGGUGUCAGUAGAAGGAGAGAGGAAACACGGUCAAAGCAAUGAGUUAGGACAGAGUUGUCAAAGAUGCAACAAACUGUGUCUUCUGGCCUGUGGGGCUCCUGGAAGGGAUGGGAACUCAGGAGUGGGGCCUGCCCCUGCACUCCAGGCUAUGGAGCUCUGUUGGGAGACUUGUUUUGGUGCAGGACCAGCAACAGCAAUGUUAAUCCUUGUGGCUCCUGAGCUGACACAGUGGCUAAGGUACCUAGAGCGGUUAGUUAACACUGCUGCUGCUUGUCCUGCUACCAGAGGUGGGUCCAGAUCUAGGCCACAAAAAGCCCUGUGAUCUGGAUAUAAUGCGGAGUGCCAAGCAAGUUUCAUACCCUGGCCUAGCAAAAAGGUCUUAUCAGUCACAUUCUGAAUGGAUUUGAAAGAAAUAAGAUUGUUUAUCAAGGCUAAAGAGAAAGAUGUUAUACUAAGAGAUGUGAAAUGGUGAGCUGCAUGAUGGUAGGAAAGUCUUUAUCCUAGAGAUACUAUGCAGACGGUCUGUAAGGCCUUGUGACAGUCUGUAUCUAGACCCUACCUGGAUGUACACAUCCUGUCUAGCUGUUAGAUGGCUCCUGUGUUACAGUGGGCCUGUUCAUCUCGUUAGCCUUUUCUGCUGCAGAUGAGGCUGUCUCUGCUAGAUGAACUUAUCUGGCUAAAUAGACAAAGGUUUUAGACCAGUUCUGUGCAAGAUCUUUUCCCCCACAAGCUCUCUAGUCUAGCCACCCUGGAUUACCUACUAGAGAUGAAGUGCAGUGACCUGUCUCUCUUUUUGCACCUAGCUGCUGUCUUAGCCUGUCACCUACACUUGAAGAUUCAGUCCAUAUUCUUCUACCCAGAGUGUUGAAACCAUCUCUGCAAAUCUCUUAUAGGAGGAGAGUGUUGUCCUGAAAAGGACUGAGCCUUUCUGGAAAUAUCAGCUCUUUAUUUCAAAAGGCCUAGUGAUUUACACCCAAAGAUUGGCUCUCCAUCUGUAUGAAGGUGUGCUUCGAGGUUGCCAGGAUGGGCCCCUUGAUAGCGGCUGAAUUUCACUUGACCUGCAAGUAACUUUGUCCCUUCCAAAGGUGUCUUCAAUAGGUAUGUGCAAGACAGUUACCUGGGUUGUCUUAAAUAUCUUCACUAUGUACUGCCCAGUUAUGGAUGCUGCUGCAGGGGCUGCUGCAUCUGGGAAAACAGCUCUUUGCUCUGAGUCGUGCUUCAGGUGAACCUGGGACUGCUUUGGAGCCACUGACACUGGCAUAGGUGCAUGAACAAGCACUUGAGAGAGAUGGAGACAAGUUGCCAGUAACCUGAGUUCUUUAAAAUUAGUCAUCCUACUAUCCUGUUGCUCUUUUGAUACAGGCACACAUGCACGGUAAGGCUGCUGCUAGGAUAGAAAAGCUUGAGUGUUUAAGCUUCUCUUGUACCCACAGUGGAUUGUGUGUAUGAUCAACACAGCUUGAAGGACGCUAGUUGUUGGUAAGUAACUUCAUUUCUUUCUCCUUGGCCUAGAGGUCACAGCUGGAAAACUGGACUGCUUCUGUUAUUGGGAUAUUAUCUGAUGAGCAAACUGAAUUGUACCACCUGUGCCAUAGUCAGAAAUUUUACCUGUUCAGAAAAAAAGGUUAAAUUAACCUUUUUUUAUAAAUUAACCUCUAUUUCUAUAAAAGUGAAGGUUUAUAAUAUAGAAGGGAAAAAAUAAAAAUAUUCACAAGGAGCGCCCUAGAUAUACUGUGAGAAGGUAUAUAGACUCCUUAGAGAGUGACGAAGCUAAGAUACCACAAAGCUGUUUGAUCUAGUGCCAAACAAAGGAAUGAGCAAGGAGGUAGAAAAUAUAGCUGAACUAAGGGGUGCUACAGAAAUUUAGGCACUGCUUUUCAUUUUUUACACAGUAAUGUGUUUAGGAAUGAGGCCAAGUACCAAGACCAGGUCAGGUACAGCAUAAGAACUAGGCAACUCUCUAAAGAACUAAAAAUUAGUCUGUUAAUACCAGCAUAGUAAUUAGAACACUAGAGGAGCCUUAUUGGGCUACUGUCAUCCAGUUACUUCCCUUGUUUGUAUUGGCUGAAGCAUCGUGCAUCAGUAAAGUGCGUGGUCAUCAUUGUCAGGUGGUGCUAAAUAGGCUGUCUGAAGAUCCAGUGUGUUUUUCUGCUUAUUUUGUUUCAAUUGUUCUGUUUUUGUAGUGAGUUAAACAUAAUUAGAAAUACAUUUGCAAAUGUUUUCUAUUUGGAAGUGAAAUGAGGUAAAUGGUAUUUUCCAUAAACUUAGAGUAACAUUAUCUUGCAAUUAAUUCAGAAUUGAACUUGUUUCUGCAAGGAUGAUUAAAUAUCAUUCAUUUAUGUCUACACUAAAUUAGUCUUGGCUUUUAGUGUCUAGCACAUUUCAGUCGGCUUUAAUAUUAAUAGUAUAUACAUUAUGCAGGCAGGCUGUACUUCUUAAAAGCUGUUUCUUGAAUGCAUAGAUAUUUAGGGUAUCUCAUGUGGAAAUGUAGUACUGCAGCUAGUUAAGGGAGUACCUUGAAACUUGUGAAACACGUUUGUAUUGCACGUGAAUGUUAAAGUGUAGUGAAGUAAGACUAGAACAUCAGACUGUGGGUUACUUGACUGUUGAAUAAACAAGUUACUUUUCCUCUUCAAGGUUGCCUUUGCAUUUUCCAAGUACCUCACGUGCCACCAAACUCUGGCAACUCUCCAGACAGCUGGAUACCUCUUGGAGCAAAACAAAUAUUCAGAUAAGAAGUUUGUGGCCAUGUAGUCCUCAAUAGGCCUAGUUUCUCUUCACAGCUGCAAAGCUAAGAUUUUGUGCUCUGUAAAGCUAGGGACAGACGUUCAAAAAGCCUGAGCCUGAAUUGAUUCAAUCUUUGCAGGUUAGUCUAAACUGGCUAGGCUGAACCAGUUUGUAACUGUACAGGCACCCCUCUGGACUGAGGAAAUGCAGGCACAUGCCUGCAGUGGCUCAGGCUAGAAGCCAGGGGGUGCUAGAGCAGCCCUCCCUUCCCUUCUUCAGUGCUGAGCUGAAGGGUAGGGGGGCCGGGACCAGGCCCUGGCAGGACGUUCUGAUUAGGGAGGGUCCUCCACCCCUUGCUGCUCCUGACCAUCAAAGGAGCCAGCAGGGAGUUACACAGCAUUGACUUGCACAGCAGGGAAUUACACAGGGAGUAACACAGUGUUUAUCAGCCCAUCAAGAAAGCAAAAGCCUCUCUGAUUAAUAGGGCUGUGCAAACUUUUGCCAGCUGUUUUGUUUUGGCACUGUUUUGACUCAUUUCGAGCUCCAAACAGCGAAAUCAAAUCAAAACGAAACAGCCUCGAAACAAAAUGAGGCUAGUUGAAAUUUUCGAGUUUCGAAGCAGCCAGGUGGUGGGAGACGGGGAAGAACCAGGGCUGCACUCCAAGUGGCUCUGCAGCGCUAUAUAGCUCAGCCAGAAGUACAGCCCUGGCUCUCCCUGCCUACCAUAGCUGGGCUGCGUGAAGCCAAUCACAGCGCAGGGGAAGGGAACUGAGCCCAGGCUCAGUUCCCCUCCUCAGCGCUGCGACCAGACUGGGGAAGGGAACUGAGCCCGACUUGCUCAGUUCCCCUUCCGAGCACUAGAAUGCGCUGAGGAAAGGAACUCGGCUCAGCUGGACUGAGUUCCUUUCCCCAGCCUGAUCGUAGCACUGGGGAUGGAAACUCAGCCCGAUCUAGCCCUGGGAGGGCUCAGUUCCCUUCCCUGGUCCCAGGCAGCAGCAGCACCUGGCUUCCCUCUGUCAUCUGGCAGGUAGAUCGGGGGCCCGCAGCACCGGGAGAACUGGCACAGCCCCUGGGCUCCCAUCUGCCUGCCAGAUGAGAAGUUGUUUUGAGCCUCCUCAUUAUAGUGAAUGGGCAAAACGUGGAAACAGUGUCACUGUUUUGACAAAAUGGAACAGCGGUUUCGAAUCUAAAUGAAACCUUGAAACUCCAGUCAAAGCCCUGAGGGACACUGUUCUGUCUGCCUUUAUCCUGUCUGUCUUUCACCUCUCACUAUUAGCUAGCAUACCACAUGCUGGUUACGGUCUGUGUGGGAAAGGGGAAUCCUUGCUUCAGAGGGGGUGGGGAGAGCGAGCAGCACAAGGAAGCCAGGAAGGCACUUCUGUGCCUGCUGUCUCUGCCGGAGCUGUAGCCAGGGAGCAGAGGUGAGGAGCCAGCCCAGCUCUCUGGAGCAGAGCACCCAGCCCAGGGCUGCAAAGCAUCUGGGAUGCUGGGGGACUCUGGUUUAAGUUAAACCAGGAAGGGGUUUGGGACAGACAAUGCAUAAACCAGUUUGACCCAAAUCAGUUAAGUCCGAUACUACAUUCAACCAGGUUUAUCUCAAACUGGUUUCAGCCAUCUUCAAACUGGUUUAUGUGCACUGAACAUCUGUUCUGUUACAGGUUUAAGCCAGUUUCUGAUCACUUAAACCAGUUUAUGGGCAAUGUUUGUCCCUAGCCUAAGACUUAGUCUUUUCACUUUGUUAUUAGUAAUAGGCUUUACUAAAGUUUAGAUGACUUUUUAUAGUUGCAAAGUGAGUUUUUAAACUGUUCCACAUUGGUUCUGUUUUACUUCUGAGGGGAUCUUGACCCAUAAGACCAUAGGAUUGGAAAGGAAACCUUGUUUCAUGGAGCUCAGUUUCUUGCAACCAUAGGGAAUUGUGUCAUAGAACGUAGCAUAAAGCAGGGGUGUCCAACUCGUGGCCUGCUGGCUGCAUGCAAUACAAAUGAGAUUAAUUUACAGUCUGUGGGUUCUUGCUGGGGUGCCACUCCACUUGCUGGUCCAGCUGUUGCUGCCUCCUGGGUCCCUGGGCUCCCCCUUCUUCCUCUGGCUUCCAUUUCCUGUACAUGUCCCUGGGAGUGUGGUGGGGUGGCUGACAUGGCCCAUGGGACUUGGGGACCCUGUGUUUCAGGGGCUUUGGGACCCUGCAUAGUGCAGGGGGCACCCAUGCAGCAUACAACCUCAGGCUGCUCUAAAGUUGGACAACCCUCAUCUAAAAAAGAUCCUCAAGAACAUCUUCUCUGGCCCUUCUCAAACACCACAGCCACUAAUACACUAUGACAGACUUAAGCCCCCAAAAUCUAUAGUGUGCAAAAAAAAACCCAUAGGAAGAGAGAAGGACAAGCCAAGGAUGCUGCUAAUGCUGUGGAACCCCACAGUGGCAAGGAAUUUAUUAGAUUAUGUGACCGGAUGUUUCUCAGAAGUGGAUGCCCACGCUGCAGAGGAGAAGAAAUCCUCAGUAUCCUUGCCAGCCUGACUUGGGGACAGAGUCCUUCCUUACCACAGGCUUGGCGAGUGAUUUAACUCUGAGGAAGACGCACUAGGUGGUUACUGGAGAGGUUUCCUAGUAUUGUUAGUGCUGGUACUAGUGUCCUGGCCAGUUUCAUCUCUAAGUAUAGCUUGUAUUGUGCUUCAGAAGAAGGCAAGAAACAAAACCAAAAAUAUAUCAGAAGCCAAGUAAUGUAUUCAAAGGAGAGAAGCAUUGUCUUUACAGGCAAUUAACAGAAGCCUGGAAUUAACAAAUGUAACAUGAUGCAAGAAGUAUUUUGAGCAUAGUUAAAAAUACUUGACGAAGGAAGAUGAUGAGGAAAAGAAACCUGAUCCUGAGUAGGCAGUCAUAGUUACCUGGCUUGGCUGCGCGCGCGUACACACACACACACACAAACACACACACACCCAAAUGUCACCUCAAAUAUGCAUGAAAGUCACCUCAGGAACCACACGAUUGUGUCGCCGUACCACUCUGCUGCAUAAAUGCAGCCUGUGCUUAACCUCCCUCAGCCUCCAGAGAAUUGUAUAGCACAAGGGAGGCUGUGUGUUAGCUGUGUGUAAAACAUGAAUUGGCUAUGAAGAUAUCAGAUGAUCUUUUUAAGAAGGCAACUUAUGAUAUGCUGUUCACUUAAAAUAAAGGGCUUCCCAUUCUUUUAUCUUCCCUUUCUUUCUCCCUCGAUUUUUGUUCAUUCACCUCCGAGCCAGCUUUAUUGUUUAAUACUGUCUGAGAAUCGGGACCAUUUGGUCAGACAUGGGUAAUCUAAACCUGUAUUUUUCGGUUUCAGACACUUGCUUAUAAUUUUAUAAUGGAUUACCCCAUCCGAGUAUGCUGACUAAAUGAAUUGUCUCAAAAUGGAUGCUAGUUGGCUAGGGAUCUGAUAUGCCCAGUGGUACAUUAAAAGGCAGAGUACAGCAAAUAUCAAUAAUGGUCUCUUGGGAAGGACAAAGUACCAGUGGUCCAUUUUCCAGAAUUUAAGGAUGCAUAAAUAUGUAAAUUGUUGGUUCUGUACCUUGCUGUGAGGUUGGUUUCUAUAACCAAAGGAAAUGGGGAUGGAAGAGGCUUUUAGAGGUAAUUUAUAGGGGUGCACUGAUAGAUUUUUGUGGCCAAUACUGAUAGCAGUUUUUUGUUUUUGUUUUUUUAAGGAUGCAUAUUGGCCAAUAGCAAUUAGAUUUCUGCUACCAGCCCGGCGAUGUGGAGUGCUGCCUCCAGCUGGGCCGUCUGAGUUUCCUGGGCUUUAUUGCGUUCUUCCAGUUCCCUCUGCCUGUCAGUGUGGCCUUACCAUUUUCCUCUGCAUUCCACUGACUUCCAUCAGCUACACGAAAAGAACUUCUUGCCAGCCUCCUGACAUCAGUGACACAUCUGAACAUCCGGGAUCAUGCAAGACAAGAUCUGCCUGUUGAGGUUCUGGCUGCACAUCUCUGUACUUGGCCCCACCAAACUCUGGGCCCUCCUGGCCAACCUCCUCUUAGCUCCGAUCAAGUUGGCCAUCUAGAAGACAAGGAAGGAGGCUCUGGCGGGAAGGAACCCAGGCAAGUGUGGGGCUGUCAAGGGAAACUUAACACUUCCCAGAGAGGAGCCUAUGAGCUCCAUUUCAUCAACCUCCUGGAUACUAGAGAUCAUGGACUAAACAUAGACAUUGGAUUUUUGAUACGUUAUAAUCUGCCUGGCAACUGACUCCCCAGCCCAGCCCCUGGCUUCUUUACUUUUCAUUCCAUCCAGGAAGAGCACACACCAACUGCUGAGACUUCCUUAGCCUGACGAAGGGUUUUUGAACCCGAAAGCUUGCUUAAUAACUUUUCUCCAACUAUUUGGGUUGCUCUAAUAAAAGAUAUCAGAUUCACCCAAGGAACCUUGUUGGGCUGUCUCCUAUCACUCCUCUGCUCACACCUCUGAGCAGUUUCACUGGUCGGCAUCCAGGGGGUCCCUCGACUUUUUGGGGGGACAGUGGGCACGGGUCAGAUCCUUUCUUACUACCUUAUGACCUCACUCCCCUUCUUUUCUUUUUAUUGUCCCUGCCCAGGCCCCUACUUAGCCCAGCCCUUCAAGGAGAGAGAGAGGUAGGGGGGAGGGUACUUACCAGUCCCCCUCCAGUGGGGCAGGAUCCCCCAAAUCCCAGGCAGAGCCCCCUCUAGCCCUAGAGCAGCUUCCCCGAUGGCGGGCCCACUGCGCGUGCGCGCAGUUUAAAAGGGCCUGCUAACAGCAAAAAAGCCUCGGUUUAGGCUCCAGGAGCAGCAAGAAACGUGCAGGUGAAAGGCCGCUGUACCCCACUCCCCCCGAAGCCCCCCAGAGACUCCCCCAUCAGCUGCGGAGCCCCCUGCUGACCCCCAGCACAGCCGGAGGUAAGCGGGGCCCGUGGUAGGAGGGGGUUAACCCCUAGAGAGUGGGAGGAGGCGGCUGAGUGGGAGCCAGGCCGGGUCUCGCCCCACCCAGGCCCCU